rnacentral:rRNA from 1 species
UACGUAGGUGACAAGCGUUGUCCGGAUUUACUGGGCGUAAAGAGCGCGCAGGCGGUCGUUCAAGUCGGGGGUGAAAGCCCCCGGCUCAACUGGGGAGGGUCAUUCGAUACUGAUCGACUCGAAGGCAGGAGAGGGAAGUGGAAUUCCCGGUGUAGUGGUGAAAUGCGUAGAUAUCGGGAGGAACACCAGUGGCGAAGGCGACUUCCUGGCCUGUUCUUGACGCUGAGGCGCGAAAGCUAGGGGAGCAAACGGG